UUCGGAAGUUGGUGGACUUCGGUCAGCGCGGAGUAUACGCGGCUUCGAAUCCGGUCGAUCGGCCGUCGGACCGAGCCGACCGAACGCACCACACACAGCCACAGCCAGCAUUGCGGAUACGUUCGAAUCUUCGAUAAUCCAUUCGGGUAGAGUCGCGCAAGCAACAACUACACCUUUCAACAAUCAGCAAUCAAAAACAAAACAUCAAGCUUUGGUGUAGGCUGUACUGUGAAGAGUGCCUUUGCUGGAUAGGUUUGUUGAUGUUGAUGGUGGGUUGGGCAGGGCGACAAAAUCAAACUCACCGCGUAGUGUUAAAAGAAACCACAGUAAGAUUUUCUAUAAUUUCUUGAUGGGAGGGACAAGGGCUUUUGUUCGCAAACUUAAUACAACAUGGAUUUUUUCUCGGGCCAUUGUUGCAGCUUUAGAUAUCUACAAAAAGUGUAAUUGUCUGCAACUGGAUUGAAUUCCAUUUUAAUUUAAUCUCCAUUUGAAUGUUCUCUAAAUUGCAAAUCAAAACCAAGGUUAGAAUGGAUUUAAUGUUGUAUGUCUUACAUCAGCGAUCAAAUAUGAUCUGUAUAAGCCUUGUUAAUUUUUGGUACUUUUAAUUAUUGUUUCCAACGCGCCUAUUUUUUCAGUGAUUUGUCUAUCUUAAGUGGAUAAAUUUAGGCUCUAGUAGAAAUCAUUACUCUGUCAACAGUUACGGUGAAGUAACAUCAAAGUUAACGAUAGGAAGAAAAUAGCUUUUUCCUUAGAAAGUAACCUAUUUAUUCUAUUGGAAUCUUAUAGCAACACACACAGGAAACUAAAUACGCUACAAGAACAGGAAACUCUUCUUUCGUUUCAAAAAUCUUUUGCUCGUGGUUGUUUACCACUAAAACAAAUAUGCCCUUAUUAUUUUGGGUUGUCAUUCUACAAGUAUGUCUCAAUCUUAAAAUAUUGGUAAAUUAUAAAGAUGAAUAUUCUCCCCAUAAAAUGUAUUUAAGCAUACAACCAUACACCGAUUAUUAUUUACAUUAAUGUAACAACACACAUUAACAACAGAAUGGAAAUGUUAUGUCAACUAUUAAACGUACGAUUGAACAGUGAAAAGUGUCUCACGAAACAGUUCGAGACUAGUAAACAAUCCAUUUAUUGUCGCCGAAAAUGAACUAACUGCUAGUUUGUGUAGCUGCUCCGCACAUCGUUACCGACAAACGUGACAAACGACAUCGUGUGGAUGUAGCAGGAAUGGGACUCGUCGAAAACACACCAUCCAACAGCAACAAAACAUACACACCAGCAGCAGGGUACAUUAAAAAUUCGUCCAAUGGAAAUUAAAUGUCUUCCCCGUGCAGACCUGUGUCGCGUCAAACAAGCACACAUAAAUUCUUGCUGGACGCAAUUAUUUAUGUUUAAUGGCCCAUUCAACAGUGCCCGUCGAAAUAAGGCGACGCUGGAGGGUGUGGGAGACCACCCCGUCCAUCGUUGCCCACCAAUCUCUCCCACAAGUGCCGUUAGCUUAGGAUAGUUGGGUUCGGGUUACAUUUCUAAUUAAUUGCAAAAUUGGCAUCGCUCGGUUCGGGUGCGGGUGUGCUUUUGCGGCUCGAGUGCACUCUGGCUCAGCUGAUGAAGGGCUGAUGGGAUGGUAGUUACUACAGAAAGGAUCAUGCAUAAGCAAAAUAAAUCACAUCAGCAAAGAAAGCUUUUGUAUUUCAUCAUCGACCGUGCGCUAUUACAUUAUAGAGGAGGUUUUGCACAAUUUAGUGAGAUUAAUUUAUUUCUUUUUCAUUUUCUAAACCGCGAUUUGCAUUCCAGUGAUGGUUGAAUGGUGCACUCGAAAUGUGAGCAAAUUAAAUGGAUAAUAAAUUAUGGUACAGCAAGUACAGGUUUAAUUUCAUAAAAACGAAACCCCAACAAACUGUUCCCAAAUACCCUUUGCUUCUUUGCCCCCCAUUGAAAGAUGUAACAUUGUAACCGCAAUAGAACCAAGAGCCAACAAGACCGUAUGCCAACCAACUGUGGUGAACAAAAAUGCAUAGCUCUGAGCACACGGUGCCCAUAAAUCAAACAGUCCUUUGGUUGAGAAGCAAUUAAUUACGAUAAAAUCUUUACCAAAAUUUAUUAUCCCUGCGCGUAACCAAUAAUACAUUUUGAAAGUAUAAGCAACGAUGUACAUUUUAUAUACCCAUCUUUUAACAUAAUUUAACUUAAUAUACAUCUAUCAAGUUUAUCAAGGCUGGUGGGCCAAUCCCAUCGAACAGUGAAAAACACCGACUGCUUUAUUUCCCAUAAUGCAACACCCAUUGGCAAUGAUUGAUGGAGGAAACAAAACAAAGAAGAAUACACUUUAAUAAUAAAAAAAAUGGCGCUUUAAGAACCGUCCGCAUCAAGCGGCAGCAGCGCCAACCCGAACGAUGAGCGCAGUGCGCGGCAGAGGCUGGCGCUGCGCACAUAAAUUUCGUUUUCGUUCAAUGUUACAACAUUGACCUGAUUAACCAAUCGCUCGAAUCGGAUCCAUGGCUCGAAUGCUGCUGGUCGUGCGAGAGCUGGCUCAAAGAGGGAGGGGAAAAAGCAAAAUAAACCUUUCGCGUACAAUGCGCACGCGGCGCGCGCCGCCGCCGCCAAUGCAGCUUCUUCUGCGCUGCUGCAUCGGUGGUGCAUGCUGGGGCGAAACCUUUGGUGGACACACCACCACACGCGCACCGCUAGCGAUGUUGUGUUGGGCGCUACUGCUGUAAGCAGUAGUAUGUUUAAGCAUCCCUCCAAGCCAUAUUAUGAUUUUAUGGUUCAAAAUGCAUUAAUUGCUGCGCUGCGAGAGCAUUCUGUACAUUAGUGCUGAAGUGAGGAGCAUCAGAAUGGAAACGUUUUAUUUGCCAUUAGUUCCUCUCUUCGCGAUCUUCAUCGAGGUUCGACACUUUUCAACGCAACACACACACACACACUCGGUAAAUGCUACGUAAAUUACCAACGCCACCCAAACGUAACAAUUACGCCGCCUCACAACUACACCGACCAGUCUCAUCUUAUAAUGCUGCCGCUCAACAACAUCUCACCACACACCAAAGCGAUGCUCCGCUGGUUCGCUCGCAUAAGAAUCGUUAAGGUACGCGUGCGCGCGCGGAUCGUGUUGCUCGUAAUUCGCGGGCGCAAACGCGUGUGUUGGUGAACGAACCAGUGUGUGCCACUCAUCUAACGCGACAGCACAGGUACACGCAGCAUACAGCAGCGCAGUUUUCAGCGCGAUGGAUGAGAGAUGAGUGUGGAUUGAUUGCUCGCGACGGCAGCGCACAGUUAGCGCGAUUGCGCGUACCGUAUCGCGCGCGUUGGCCCUCAGAGUACGGGAGAAGGCCAGCGCAAUUCAGCGCACACCAAAUGCGGUACCACACGAUCGCGCACGUCGUUGUUCACGUGAUGCUGCUCUAAGUGGUGCGCGUACUUAGUGCGAUUUGCCACACUAUCUAAUAUCCAGAGCGCAUUGGUUUCGGCCGCAUGCUGACGGUCAGAAUUGUUUUGUGUGUGUUGUAAUACAGCAGGAACAACCAGCUUCUAUUCUUAGCAGCCCGUCGUCUACACACGUGAAAAGGGCUCGAUCGGUUUCGCAAGCAAGGUAUCAUAACCGCAUAAUGCGAUUGUUUGCGUGUUGGAUGCAAGGGCCGAGUGUGGAGCGUGCAAGUGCAAAGGCGCCUUCGGGAGAAGAGAGAGAGCGCUACCGGAAAGAAACGACGUCUAAUCAAAACCACAGGAGGGAAAUUGAUAAUAGUCACAAUCAUUUAUGGUUACUGUCCCACACGAGCUCGAUAGGCAGCGUGGUACAAAUUGGUAGGAAAUAAAAUUAAUGCAAAAUUCAUACAACCUAAGAAUACAUACAAUAGGUUAAAAAAACUAAGAGC